CACCUGCCUCUCAGAGUUCAGACAAAGACUUCUGAAAGGCCUGAAGCUGACGAGUUAUUCUUAACUUGCCACAGGCUCUCAGCAGGACAGUGUUCAAGUAAAUACUGCUCAUCAGAACAGCCAACAAGAAGAAAGUUACAGUGUUAAUCAUCACAUCAGACCUAGGAGACCAGACCAAAGCAUCUCUGAAGCGUCAUCAGAUCCGAAGCAUCAUCGGAGAAGCUCGUACUUGCAGUUGGUGGCUGUGGUGACAAGUGAGAAUGGCCCCCACAGACUUACUUGUUUGAAUACUUGGUUUCCAGUUGGUGGAAUUGUUCGGGAUGUAUUAGGAGUUGUCUCAAGAUGUGAACUCUCUACUACUGCUCCAGCGCCAUGCCUGUCUGCUGCCAUGUUCCUACCGUGAUGGUCAUGGACUCUAACUGUGCUCAGCCCUAGAGUGGGGGUGGGGGAGGGGGAUGGUUACUUUGGAGAACUGGCAUUCUGUAUUCCUCUCACUAGGACACGAGGAUGCCGACACUCCCAGCAAACCUUCCUGUUGGGAAGAGAACACUCACACGACCCAUAGAGAGCAGUAACUGAAACAGGAGCACGCUAUUUCCAUAAUGGAGAGGUCUGAUGUCCACUUCCUUCAUCAAAGGCUAAACUUACCAGCAGCAGCAGUGGGAUACCCUGACAACACAUGACACUUGAUAAGAUGUAUACAAGUGAUUAUCACUCAUAGUAUGGCCACAAGUUUUGCCUGAACGAAACCACGAUGAAAUAGAUAAAUUUAAAACACUGACAUUGUAUAAGACAAUUAGCCCAAGCACUUUUCUUUCUAGGUUAACUGAAACUUGACACUAAUACAACUGCUACAAAUAAUAUGACCACCAAUGAAAAUAUGAAUCUUGACCGGGUGCUAGAGAUACAAAGCUUGCUUAAGGCAUUUUUGGCAUAAUUAGGGAUAUCUAAAUGUGAGCAUUCAUUAGAUGGUUUUCCUAUUACCUUUGUGACUUUUCAUAUAUGAUAAAGUAUAUUUACAUAGUAAAGUCCUUCAUUUUAUCAGAUGUAUGGUGAAGCUUCCGGAAAGUAGAGUGCACUAUACCAUAAACUUAUUUUAGUUUUCAUCUCAACAUUGAAUUUAUCAACCACACAUGUUGAAUAUGCAUGAAUGAGUAGUUGUUUAUAGCAUAUAUUCAUAUUUAUAUAUUGAUUGACUUGCUAAAAAGUAAUAUUUGGGGCUGGUGAUAUGGUUCAGUGAUUAUGAUCCCUGACUGAUCUUCCAGAUAACACAGGUUUAACUUCCAGAGUCCACAAGGACACUCAACUGUCUGUAACUCAGGUUCUAUGGAAUUUGAUGCCCUCUUCUGGUCUCCAUGGGCAAUGCACACACAUGGUGCACAGACAUAUACACAUGCAGGCAAAACAUUCAUACAUGUAACAUACAAAAUAAAAUGAAAAAAGUUAUUCUUAUUGAGAAGUAGUAAUUUUUACCCAACCAGAGAGAUGAAUUUCUUAGAAUCAUUAGUUUUCUCCCUUUAUAUUUAGUAAAAACUGUAUCUGAGGGAUGGAGAGUUGGCUUGGUGCUUGAGAGCCCUGGCUGCUCCAGGGGACCUGGAUAUGAUUCUCAGCACCCACAUCAUGGCUCACAACUGUUUGUAACUUUAGCUCUAAGGAGUCAAACGCCCUCUGAAGGCAUGGUGCACACAUGUGAAGCAAACAUGCACAUGCAGACAAAACAUUCACAUGCACAAAAUAAAAUAAAAUAUAAUAAACACCAUUUGAGGGACGAAUUACUCAUAUUCCAAUAAAUUACUUCCCAACCUGGUUUUGGAGACGCUGUAUAUUAGAAGACGGAGAGGAGUUUAUGAGAUCUGCGACUCUGGUGUGCUUCCUCACAGCUCGGGAAGAACACCCAGCCUAUGCCACUCUCAAACACUAAUAAAAAUUAAAACUCAUACCAGAGGUAGGGUCAUACACUUAAUACCUACAUAUAUAAUCCCAGCACUCAAAAGGGUGAGGGAGAAAGAUUGCUGCGUCUGAGGACAGCUCAUUAUAAUACAUCAAGACUGUCAUACACACACACACACACACACACACACACACACACACACACCACAGGCAUGUACCACUAAUACUAUGAGUAUAUAAAGUCAGUAGAUAUUUAACUAUUUUUAAACUAUUGCCCAAAUAAUUUAUUUAUGCUAACUAAUAGUUAAUAUUGUACUAAUGUCUAUGAAGAAAACAAAACAAAACUAGGAGCAGCAAUUUCCAACAUUUGCUAAAUCUCUUCCCUAUCUGCAAGAAGAGGCUCAAG